UACGAAGGGGGCUAGCGUUGCUCGGAAUCACUGGGCGUAAAGCGCACGUAGGCGGAUUGCUAAGUCAGGGGUGAAAUCCUGGAGCUCAACUCCAGAACUGCCUUUGAUACUGGCGAUCUUGAGUCCGGGAGAGGUGAGUGGAACUGCGAGUGUAGAGGUGAAAUUCGUAGAUAUUCGGAGGAACACCAGUGGCGAAGGCGGCUCGCUGGCUCGAUACUGACGCUGAGGUGCGAAAGCGUGGGGAGCAAACAGG
rnacentral:rRNA from 1 species